rnacentral:rRNA from 1 species
UACGGAGGGUGCAAACGUUGCUCGGAAUCAUUGGGCGUAAAGCGAACGUAGGCGGCUAUGCAAGUCGGGUGUGAAAUCCCACGGCUCAACCGUGGAAGUGCACUCGAAACUGCAAGGCUAGAGUCCUGGAGAGGAAGGUGGAAUGCUUGGUGUAGAGGUGAAAUUCGUAGAUAUCAAGCGGAACACCGGUGGCGAAGGCGGCCUUCUGGACAGUGACUGACGCUGAGACGCGAAAGCGUGGGGAGCAAACAGG